GUAAAAAAAAAUAAAUAAAUAAAAGGGCUGUUUUCUGGAUCAAAAUCGUCUUUUUGUUCAAAACCUACUAUUUUUAAUGUCUUGUUUUUGCUAUUUUUGGUGUUUUAAGAGCCCGGCUGUGGUCCAAAAUCUUUGCUUUAGUCAUCUAAGAAGGUGUUGCCAUGGCAGAGAAGUUUCUUUACUUUUUGGUAAAAUGUCUAUUGAUGAAAUAUCACGCUUUCUCCUCCACACACACACACACACAAAAAAAAACAUAAUAUGCACGCCGAUGUGGCGAUAACUUUAGAUGCCUAUCAGCUUGUGGUUUUUAUUAGGAUAUCUAUUCUUGGUUCCAAAUUGACCUUAUAUGAGGUAUUUCUAAUAAAACAACUUUCGUCUGUCAUUAUACAUCUGUACAGACAUCUGAGAGUGGUGGGUUUUCCAGGACCUUGUUUCUACUUAUUUCCUUGUCCAAAAAAAAAAAAAAAACACUGCUGUCCAUGUCCAAAAUAGGUAUGCAUAUUUGUGUCGACGUUGCAUUGUCACAACAUUAUUUUUUGGUUACAUUGACUGCUCCUCUUUAAAUCCUGAAUUGUUUAAAAUGUGUAAGAUUUGUUCUAAUGGAAUGCUUUACUCUUUUUACUCUUUUAGGCUUGUCUUAUUUCAGUGAUUUGAUUAGUCUUUAAAAGAUAUUCGGGGAUAAAGUACCUGAGAAUGUGCAAAAAGUUACUUGCAACAGGAAUGACAGAAUUCUGAAAAUAAGAUCAAGAUUGUGCUUUGUUGACCAUCAGGAGUAUACAUGUGUUGAAAUCAUUCAGAAGUCUGGAUCACAAGAUUAAUGUAAAAUCUUUAUCCGAUGAAAGGAUUUGCAAAAUUGGUUACAGCUUUUGCAAGAAAUACUCACUGAUGAGAAGUAUAGAUUGAGCUGUUGAACCGUGCCAGGAAAUGUCAAUAAUGCAGCCCAAUUCAGAGUAAUGGAAGAAUCUCUGAUGAAAUCUCUUUAUUCACAUUGAGAAUACUAGAGAUGGCGCAUACUUGAAGUUUCGGAUACAGGUCGAAUCUUGAUCUUCAAUCUUCCUAUGGAUGACGUGGCUACAAUUUUGCACCUUCCAACAAGUACCAUUCUAUGAAUGGAUUCGACCAGACUUCCAUCGGAUACAACAGCUUGGAUUAGAGAAGCCAGACCUGGUACCUUUCAUCCCUUCCUUGUUCAAGUAUUUGAGGGAAAGGGGGAUGCAAGUCGGAGUAAAGGUUGUCUACUUUGCAAUUGAGGCUCUGUGGCUUAGUCCAUUCAUGGAUGUAGCCCACUAGACUGCAUGGACAAACGAUCAAGACCACCAUCCAUCUGUUCGCCCCUACCAUUUUGAGUGAUUGUACAGAAGACAGAAUCUGUGCUACCUGAUUUCAGUUGCAUAGUCAGAUUAUGAAGACCAGAAUCUACACACACCUAAUGUUUGUUGGUGAUUGUACAAAAAACUUGCAGAUAGGAGAAUCCUAGCUACCCAAUUUUCUCUGUUGAAUGUGAUAUUUAUACAGUUUGUAUAAAAAUGGCUGAUAUUUGUCAUCACCCAUUUGCUUGAAGGCUCUUACUCGGACGGAUAGGAUUUUCUAAUUGAUGAGAUAUUUAUACAGUUGCCUGUCACCAUAGGGCUGAUAAGAUUGACAUACCAGAUGAUCCACCCAUGAGCCAUGCAGGCCUAAUCAAGCAGUAGACCCUCUGACAUAAGAGCAGGCUCCAAAUUGAAAAUGAACCAAUAGGCCUCUCAAAUUCUCUGUCAAGGGUGGGCAGUCUCUUGUUCAAAAGGGAUUCUUCAGAUCGAGCAUGGAUGUUCUUCAUUGUUUGCAAUUUUAUCAGCUGCUAUGCUUCUCGAGUAGGUUUCAGAAAAGCAACAGUCACUUUGCUAGCUGUUUGUAGCUCUAUCCUUGUGUUGAGUUUAGAAGGAUAAAGUAUAUAUGGAUGUUUAAGUAGAGGAAGAAAGAGAGAUUGUAUUUAUUUUAGAAUGCAUGAAAAACAGAUCUGUAGUCUGACUGUUAUGCAUGUUACAAGUAAUCAUAUGAGUUUCAUGUGC